rnacentral:rRNA from 1 species
CGUAUGGGUUCUAUUUUGUUGGGUUUCUAGGACCAUCGUAAUGAUUAAUAGGGACGGUCGGGGGCAUCAGUAUUCAGUUGUCAGAGGUGAAAUUCUUGGAUUAACUGAAGACUAACUACUGCGAAAGCAUUUGCCAAGGACGUUUUCAUUAAUCAAGAACGAAAGUUAGGGGAUCGAAGAUGAUCAGAUACCGUCGUAGUCUUAACCAUAAACUAUGCCGACUAGGGAUCGGGUGGCGCUACUUUGCCCACUCGGCAUCUUACGAGAAAUCAAAGUUUUUGGGUUCUGGGGGGAGUAUGGUUGCAAGGCUGAAACUUAAAGGAAUUGACGGAAGGGCACCACCAGGAGUGGAGCCUGCGGCUUAAUUUGACUCAACACGGGGAAACUCACCAGGUCCAGACGUAAUAAGGAUUGACAAGUUAGAGACUUCUCCUGAUCUUACGGGUGGUGGCGCAUGGCCGUUUUUAGUCCUUGGAGUGAUUUGUCUGCUUAAUUGCGAUAACGAACGAGACCUUAACCUACUAAAUAGCGCGACUAGCUUUUGCUGGUGCUGACGCUUCUUAGAGGGACUAUCGAUUUCAAGUCGAUGGAAGUUUGAGGCAAUAACAGGUCUGUGAUGCCCUUAGACGUUCUGGGCCGCACGCGCGCUACACUGACGGAGCCAGCGAGUCUAACCUUGGCCGAGAGGUCUUGGUAGUCUUGUGAAACUCCGUCGUGC